CGGCGACCGGCGCACGGGUGAGUAACACGUAUGCGACCUGCCCGUAGCAGGGGGAUAAGCGGAAGAAAUUCCGUCUAAUACCGCGUAAUAUCUUUCGGGGGCAUCCCUGAGGGAUUAAAGGAAGCGAUUCCGGCUACGGAUGGGCAUGCGGCGCAUUAGCUAGUCGGCGGGGUAACGGCCCACCGAGGCGACGAUGCGUAGGGGUUCUGAGAGGAAGGUCCCCCACACUGGUACUGAGACACGGACCAGACUCCUACGGAAGGCAGCAG
rnacentral:rRNA from 1 species